UGCCAGUUUCAAAAGCAAAGUAUUCAUGUUUUUCCUUCUGUUUUCUCAGUUAGUCCAAGUGGCAGCCAGGAAGAAGCUGGCCAAGACAGAGCAUCAGAAUCAGACCAAGAGCUGCCAUCCCUGCUUGAUGAGCCUGUGGCUUCUGAGAUGCCUGCUGGAUACAUUAAAGAUCUUCAAGCAGUGGAGAUGAGGAUAAUG